UACGGAAGGCAGCAGUGGGGAAUAUUGCACAAUGGGCGCAAGCCUGAUGCAGCCAUGCCGCGUGUAUGAAGAAGGCCUUCGGGUUGUAAAGUACUUUCAGUCGUGAGGAAGGUGUUAAGGUUAAUAACCUUAGCAAUUGACGUUAGCGACAGAAGAAGCACCGGCUAACUCCGUGCCAGCAGCCGCGGUAAUACGGAGGGUGCGAGCGUUAAUCGGAAUUACUGGGCGUAAAGGGCACGCAGGCGGUUAAUUAAGUUGGAUGUGAAAUCCCCGGGCUUAACCUGGGAAUGGCAUUCAAGACUGGUUAGCUAGAGUCUUGUAGAGGGGGUAGAAUUCCAUGUGUAGCGGUGAGAUGCGUAGAGAUGUGGAGGAAUACCGGUGGCGAAGGCGGCCCCUGGACAAAGACUGACGCUCAUGUGCGAAAGCGUGGGGAGCAAACAGGGAUUAGAUACC
rnacentral:rRNA from 1 species